UGCCCUCUAGAUGGGGACAACAUCCCGAAAGGGGUGCUAAUACCGAAUGUGACAGCAAUCUCGCAUGAGGAUGCUGUGAAAGAUGGCCUCUAUUUAUAAGCUAUCGCUAGAGGAUGGGCCUGCGUCUGAUUAGCUAGUUGGUGGGGUAACGGCCUACCAAGGCGAUGAUCAGUAGCCGGUCUGAGAGGAUGAACGGCCACAUUGGGACUGAGACACGGCCCAGACUCCUACGGGAGGCAGCAGUGGGGAAUCUUCCGCAAUGGGCGAAAGCCUGACGGAGCAAUGCCGCGUGAGUGAUGAAGGAAUUCGUUCCGUAAAGCUCUUUUGUUUAUGACGAAUGUGCAGGCUGUGAAUAAUGACUUGUAAUGACGGUAGUAAACGAAUAAGCCACGGCUAACUACGUGCCAGCAGCCGCGGUAAUACGUAGGUGGCGAGCGUUGUCCGGAAUUAUUGGGCGUAAAGGGCAUGUAGGCGGUUUUUUAAGUCUGGAGUGAAAAUGCGGGGCUCAACCCCGUAUGGCUCUGGAUACUGGAAGACUUGAGUGCAGGAGAGGAAAGGGGAAUUCCCAG
rnacentral:rRNA from 1 species